rnacentral:misc_RNA from 1 species
AAGUCGUAACAAGGUUUCCGUAGGUGAACCUGCGGAAGGAUCAUUACAAGUGAGGCUACCGAACGCUGGAAACAGCGGUUAGGGGCUAUCACCCACCCGAUCGUUUACUAUCACUAUUGUUACCUUUGGCGGGCCGUGGCCUCCACUGCGGGCUCUGCUCGUGUGUGCCCGCCAGAGGACCAAACUCUGAAUGUUAGUGAUGUCUGAGUACUAUCUAAUAGUUAAAA